AGUGAACGCUGGCGGUAGGCCUAACACAUGCAAGUCGAACGGCAGCACAGUAAGAGCUUGCUCUUACGGGUGGCGAGUGGCGGACGGGUGAGGAAUACAUCGGAAUCUACUUUUUCGUGGGGGAUAACGUAGGGAAACUUACGCUAAUAUUGCAUACGACCUACGGGUGAAAGCAGGGGAUCUUCGGACCUUGCGCGUUUGAAUGAGCCGAUGUCGGAUUAGCUAGUUGGCGGGGUAAAGGCCCACCAAGGCGACGAUCCGUAGCUUGCCUGAGAGGAUGAUGAGCCAGCCUGGAACAGAGACACGGUACAGGGUCCUACGGGAGGCAGCAGUGGCAAAUAUUGGACAAUGGGCGCAAGCCUGAUCCAUCCAUACCGCGUGGGUGACGAAGGCAUUCGGGUUGUAAAGCCCUUUUGUUGGGAUAGAAACGCAGCAGGUUAAUACCCCGCUGUUCUGACGGUACCCAAAGAAUAAGCACCGGCUAACUUCGUG
rnacentral:rRNA from 1 species